rnacentral:lncRNA from 15 species
GUGCUUUCCCCACAGAUCGAGGCCGAGCUAAGAGUGUGACGUUUCAGCAGUCUCCUCCAAAAAUAGUCAACGAAAAGACCAGAGUGGACUUUAAAUGCAGUCAUGAUGACAAUAAUCUUGAUGUAAUGCUCUGGUACCAGCAAACAGAGAGUGGUCUGAUGAAUUUAAUUGGAUACAGCUACAUUAACAAUGAACCCACAUAUGAGAAAGAGUUUAAAGAUCGGUUUGAGAUUACAAGAAAAGACAUCCAAACAGGAGCUCUGAUUAUUCAGAGUGUGAAUCUAUCAGACAUGGCUGUGUAUUACUGCGCUGGCAGUACACAGUGAUGUGGUUUAAUGCCACUCCCUCACUAAAAACCCUCACCUUCCUGUGAAUGAGACAUUUGCAGAUGAGGCAGUGUCUCUCUUUACACUGACUCUCACUGGUGGAAGCUGUGUUUCUCCUGCAGCAGAGCAAACCUGGAGGAUGUCUCCAGUUGUGAUCGGAUUUCUUCUCCUCUUGUUGCCAUAUCGAGGCCGAGCUAAGAGUGUGACGUUUCAGCAGUCUCCUCCAAAAAUAGUCAACGAAAAGACCAGAGUGGACUUUAAAUGCAGUCACAAUGACAGCGACCUUAAUGUAAUGCUCUGGUACCAGCAAACAGAGAGUGGUCUGAUGAAUUUAAUUGGAUACAGCUACAUUAACAGUGAGCCCGACUAUGAGAAACAGUUUAAAGAUCAGUUUGAGAUUACAAGAAAAGACAUCCAAACAGGAGGUCUGAUUAUUCAGAGUGUGAAUCUGUCAGACUCAGCUGUGUAUUACUGCGCUGGCAGUACACAGUGAUGUGGCUUAAUAUCAGCCCUCACUAAAAACCCUGUUCCCUUCUUACUCUGCUGUUUUCAAGUUCAAGAGAGGCAGGAUAGUGGAAUUUGUCUCAGUAUAUUUACUGGCCAAGUAUGUUGACACAUACAAGAAAGUAAGGUUGUCACAAUACCAGAAUUUUAUACAAUAUUAGCAUUAAAAAACAACACUCGAUACCUCUUUUGAUACCAUGGAAAAGAGAAAUAGG